AUCGAGCUGUGUCUGCUUCACUGGAGCCUCUCCUGCAGAGAGGGCAGGAGGGCAGGAGAGCAGGGGGACCCCUCCUAGAGGCCCCCAAGGGCUGGGCCUAAGCAGACACCCCACAGCUAACUGCUGAACUCACCCAUCCCCUGGCCUCGAGCAGGCACCCACUCUGGGCCCUGCCUGUGCCGGGCGCCGGGACACACAGAUAAGCACACACAGGGCACCCGAGCUCCCUCAGCAAGUCCAGGUGAGCAAACGCAGAUGGCCAGCAGAAAGGGGAGCUCCUUUGGAGGACCAAGUGCCAGGAGAGGUCAGAGGAGCAAGCCUGAGCCACGAUGGGAAGUCCCCAUGCAACACUGGCUGCACCUCGCAGGAGGAGAGAGGUGGAGAGGGCAUGGCAUGAAGCCAAGCCUGGAAUACACGGCCCCGGGGCAGUACAGGCCCCGGCAACUGGCUGGUAGUGAGUGAGUUCUGGCUCUAAGAGUUCAUGCAAGAGCUGAUUGUUUAAAGAGGCUGGCACCUCCUCCUCCCUCUCUUGCCACGUGAGACCCCGCUGCCCCUUGGCCUUCUGCCAUGAUUGAAAGCUUCCUGAGGCCCCACUGGAAGCAGAUGCUGACACCGUUGCUUCGUGUACAGUCUGUAGAACUAUGAGACAAAUAAACUGCUUUGUAAAUA